GACAAGUUGGUCGAGUGGUUAAAGCGAUGGACUGCUAAUCCAUUGUGCACUGCACGGGUGGGUUUAAAUCCCAUCCUUGUUG
rnacentral:tRNA from 1 species